AUUGAACGCUGGCGGCAGGCUUAACACAUGCAAGUCGAGCGGGGUGAUGGUGCUUGCACUAUCACUUAGCGGCGGACGGGUGAGUAAUGCUUAGGAAUCUGCCUAUUAGUGGGGGACAACAUCCCGAAAGGGAUGCUAAUACCGCAUACGUCCUACGGGAGAAAGCAGGGGAUCACUUGUGACCUUGUGCUAAUAGAUGAGCCUAAGUCGGAUUAGCUAGUUGGUGGGGUAAAGGCCUACCAAGGCGACGAUCUGUAGCGGGUCUGAGAGGAUGAUCCGCCACACUGGGACUGAGACACGGCCCAGACUCCUACGGGAGGCAGCAGUGGGGAAUAUUGGACAAUGGGGGGAACCCUGAUCCAGCCAUGCCGCGUGUGUGAAGAAGGCCUUAUGGUUGUAAAGCACUUUAAGCGAGGAGGAGGCUUACCUAGUUAAUACCUGGGAUAAGCGGACGUUACUCGCAGAAUAAGCACCGGCUAACUCUGUGCCAGCAGCCGCAGUAAGAC
rnacentral:rRNA from 1 species